AUUUGAGAACUUUGAGAACCUGGAUUAACAUCAAAGAAGUUGAAGAAGAGUUAGUUGGACUGAGAGUUUUUCUCCAAAAAAAGAGAAACACAUACCUGAGGGGGUCCUUUCACUGGGAACAGGCCUAUAUGAGUAAAAAUAUUCCCAAGUCCCUUCAACUGUUUCUUGUCAGGUUUGCAAUGCCACCUUCAAAGAGAAAGACAUUCUUUCUCUUGUUUUCUCCUUAAACAGAACUGAAGUGAGACAGCAACCAUGAUUCUUGGACCAAGGAAAGUGAACAACUCAGGCUCUAAAUGCUACCAUCCAUUCUGUUUCCAUUAAGAAUUAUCUGGGAUUUUAUGGGACAUAUUCUAUUGUCUUAGGCUUUCUUAAGUAAGACAAUCAUGCAGGUUUCAUAAGGGAGUCACUGAAGGAUGUUUUAGACUGCUUUGAUGUUUUUCAUUGUUGUACUCCAAUAGUAGCAUUUCCAUUUCCUUAGAAAUGUGUCCAUUUCUCUCCAUCUGUCUUCUCUCCAUAAAUCACAAUAAAAGCAUACUUGUGAACA
rnacentral:lncRNA from 1 species